CGGUAAAAUUGAAAAUGAUACAUAGAUCUACUAAAAUGCUAGGUUUCCGUCGUCGCUCAUCUCGAUAAAAUAAGCACACGGCAGAACCUCUUCAUCCCAAGGCUGUUAUGACGUCACGAACAUUACAUCACAGUUCCUUGAAACCGUUGGGAAUUUCCAAAGUAAACAAAAGUCUUAUUGACUGUAUUCGGCUCGGAUGGUUUACAAACUGGCGUUUUAUAAUUCUUUAAUCACCAUUACUGUUCGAUACGAAUUGUUAUCGGUGAAUUUAUGUUUUUCUCAGAAGUGAUUCACCUCGAAUUUCAAAACCGGAAGCUGGAGAAGGUAUGGCGGAAUACCAGUACGGCGAUUUAGAUAGUACCUGUCCAUCAUUUUGCCAGACACGGCCUCUGUAGGCAAGAGGAAGGGCGGAAAUACUUCUACAAAGCAAUUAAAACAAAAUUAUGUCAAAUAAAAGAGACGUUUGCCGCAAAUCUAGUCGAAGACCUGUGCAGACAUCGGGGUUCUUUCUUGGACAAAUGGGCUGCAGAAUUAUUUGACAUCGACGGUGAUGGCAUGGUUACCCAUUUCGAAAAGCGAUUUUAUGAAUUCAACACCUGAACAUUGUAAAAAGACAAAUCACAGACAGACUGACAGAGAAGGAGAAUAUGUUUUGCUGUCGUGGAUCUUGCGAUAAAAUUUCUACCAGAUUCUUGCACUUGAACGUAACAAAUGUCGUAGGUGUUGCAAGUAAUACAUAUUGCUGGUCAAUAUUUUGUACUUCUGUAAAGUUUCAACAUGUAAAAAUGUCAAUAUAACACAUUCAUCACCUGUACAUAGACUGUCAGAUACGACUAUAUGUGACGUUGUGUGAAAGUGCUGCCCUCCCACACACCCCUCCCCGCCUCAUCAUAUGCAGGAGUAUGAAAAUCCAAAAGAAAGCAAAAGAAAUCAAUAUGAUUUUAAAUUACAUCCUAACUGCCCGUUAAUGAAAGUACUUAGACCAUAUAUACAGAAUCAAACUAUGCCAAAAUAACCCCCAAUUCAGCUUUAGGAACAAACGAGGAUAAAAGAAGAGGAGGGACCGAAAAUGAUGUUUUCAUAUACAUGUCGCCAUAUUUUCAGCUACAUGUAUUGUUUCCAAAAAUGCCAUAGUAGGGGUAUUUCUGAGGGAUUAAUUGGUACACAAAGAAGAUUUUUUUUUCAUAUGUUGAAGAUUUAAACUAGCAUUUCUGAAACAUUUUUGGACAUUUCUUCGGAUUUUCAUAUUUUUUUUCUGAUGACUUGUGGCAUGACUUGGCUGACGUCACACGUAAUUCACAGUCUCAGAACAAUAUGCGC
rnacentral:misc_RNA from 1 species